rnacentral:rRNA from 1 species
GUGAGGAAUAUUGCGCAAUGGAGGCAACUCUGACGCAGCCAUGCCGCGUGCAGGAAGAAGGCGCUACGCGUUGUAAACUGCUUUUAACCGGGAAGAAACCCCAGGACGUGUCCUGGGUUGACGGUACCGGAGGAAUAAGCACCGGCUAACUUCGUGCCAGCAGCCGCGAUAAUACGAAGGGUGCAAGCGUUAUCCGGAUUCAUUGGGUUUAAAGGGUGCGUAGGCGGAGCGUUAAGUCAGUGGUGAAAUCCUGCAGCUUAACUGUAGACUUGCCAUUGAUACUGGCGCUCUUGAGUGCGCUUGAAGUGGGCGGAAUGUGCCGUGUAGCGGUGAAAUGCUUAGAUAUGGCACAGAACACCAAUUGCGAAGGCAGCUCACUAAGGCGAUACUGACGCUGAGGCACGAAAGCGUGGGGAUCGAACAGGAUUAGAUACCCUAGUAGUCC